GACAGAGGAUGCAAGCGUUAUCCGGAAUGAUUGGGCGUAAAGCGUCUGUAGGUGGCUUUUAAGUCCGCCGUCAAUCCCAGGCUCAACCCUGGACAGGCGGUGGAAACUACCAAGCUGGAGUACGGUAGGGCAGAGGGAAUUUCCGGUGGAGCGGUGAAAUGCGUAGAGAUCGGAAAGAACACCAACGGCGAAAGCACUCUGCUGGCCGACACUGACACUGAGAGACGAAAGCUAGGGAGCGAAUGG
rnacentral:rRNA from 1 species